AUCAUGAAUAGUACAUUCAUAUGUUCAAUUUUAACUAUUUUUGAAAUACGAACUUAUCUUUUGUUGCCCAAUUCUUCUUACUUAUGGAUAGAUGAAAUGAUUUCCUUUUUAAUAGGCGCCCCCGAGAAAUCACCCUCUGUUAUUAUUAUCUGGCCUGGGGACUAAUGCCAUUGGAUAUGAUCUUUCUCCCGAGUCUUCUUUAGCGAGAUAUAUGUCUGGCCAAGGAUUUGACACAUGGAUUCUUGAAUUUCGUGGUGCUGGGCUGAGUGAGCAGACAUCAAACUUCAAAGAAAUUAAGGAUGCUGAUUAUGCAUUUUCUAA